CCUACGGGCGGCAGCAGUGAGGAAUAUUGGUCAAUGGACGAGAGUCUGAACCAGCCAAGUAGCGUGAAGGAUGACUGCCCUAUGGGUUGUAAACUUCUUUUAUAUAGGAAUAAAAUGUUCCACGUGUGCCUUUUUGUAUGUACCUUAUGAAUAAGGAUCGGCUAACUCCGUGCCAGCAGCCGCGGUAAUACGGAGGAUCCGAGCGUUAUCCGGAUUUAUUGGGUUUAAAGGGAGCGUAGGUGGGUUGUUAAGUCAGUUGUGAAAGUUUGCGGCUCAACCGUAAAAUUGCAAUUGAAACUGGCAGUCUUGAGUACAGUAGAGGUAGGCGGAAUUCGUGGUGUAGCGGUGAAAUGCUUAGAUAUCACGAAGAACCCCGAUUGCGAAGGCAGCUUACUAAACUGCGACUGACAUUGAUGCUCGAAAGUGUGGGUAUCAAACAGGAUUAGAUACCCGUGUAGUC
rnacentral:rRNA from 1 species